rnacentral:rRNA from 1 species
UACGGAGGGUGCGAGCGUUGUCCGGAAUCACUGGGCGUAAAGGGCGCGUAGGCGGCGCGGCAAGUCUGUGGUGAAAGCCCGAGGCUCAACUUCGGGUCGGCCAUGGAUACUGCUGCGCUCGAGCACUGUAGAGGCAGGUGGAAUUCCUGGUGUAGCGGUGAAAUGCGCAGAUAUCAGGAGGAACACCGGUGGCGAAGGCGGGUCUCUGGGCCGAUACUGACGCUGAGGAGCGAAAGCGUGGGGAGCGAACAGG